rnacentral:rRNA from 1 species
GUCUAUGGACAUACCACCUUGAAUGGUGUCUGACAUCACAAGCUAAGUUUGGUCACGUCUGGUUUAGUACCUGGAUGGGAGACUGUCUGGGGCUACUGGGUAUGGUAGGCU